GAAUCCCGUCUUUGGCACGGAUGCCUGGUGCUUCUGUGAUGCGCUCUCGAAGAGUCGAGUUGUUUGGGAAUGCAGCUCAAAAUGGGUGGUGAACUCCAUCUAAAGCUAAAUAUUGGCGAGAGACCGAUAGCGAACAAGUACCGUGAGGGAAAGAUGAAAAGCACUUUGGAAAGAGAGUGAAACAGUACGUGAAAUUGUUGAAAGGGAAACGCUUGAAGUCAGUCGCGUCGACCGAGACUCAGCCUUGCCUUGGCUUGGUGUACUUCUCGGCCUGACGGGUCAGCAUCAAUUUUGCCCUUUGGAUAAUGGCAGGGGAAAGGUGGCACCUUUACGGGUGUGUUAUAGUCUCUUGUCGCAUGCGAGGGGUGGGAUUGAGGAACUCAGCGCGCACCUCAGUGUCGGGGCUUCGGCCCACGUCACGCGCUUAGGAUGCUGGCGUAAUGGCUUUAAACGACCCGUCUUGAAACACGGACCAAGGAGUCUAACAUGCCUGCGAGUGUUUGGGUGGAAAACCCAUGCGCGCAAUGAAAGUGAAAGUUGAGAUCCCCUCCAGGGGAGCAUUGACGCCCGGACCAGACCUUCUGUGACGGAUCCGCGGUAGAGCAUGUAUGUUGGGACCCGAAAGAUGGUGAACUAUGCCUGAAUAGGGUGAAGCCAGAGGAAACUCUGGUGGAGGCUCGUAGCGAUUCUGACGUGCAAAUCGAUCGUCAAAUUUGGGUGUAGGGGCGAAAGACUAAUCGAACCAUCUAGUAGCUGGUUCCUGCC
rnacentral:rRNA from 1 species